rnacentral:lncRNA from 1 species
AGCGCUACAAAAAAAAGAAAAGAAAAGUAAAGAAACUAUUUUCUCUAUGGGAACUUCACUGACCCACUGACCGACCGGUCACUAUGGAAUUAGGGUGACCGACUGACCGCCUUACCGAUAUCAAUUAGAAUUUAUCAGCGAGAUAGAUCAUUUUUUUUUUUUUUUAGCUCGUGAAAUUUUUAGGGGGAAUUUUUUAAGAUUGGGCCGGAGUGGCUACCGCCACCUGGAAUUGUGCCCUCUGCCGAUUUUUGUUGUUUUUCCCCCUUUCUAUGGAGUAUUAUCCCGGCCCAGAGUGGCAUGAAACGUAAGAAAGAAAUGAAAUGUUGGAAAUUUCAGUGAAAUAUUUUAUGAAAUUUCACGAGGCUGUGAAAUAAUUCAUAUUUUCCAGGGGCUGGAGUAUGCAACCCGCACUCAAACAAACAAAAAUAAAAAGAAAUUUACAAUUUCUACAUUUUACUUAACAAGGAAAGGAACCGGCAUUUUUCAAUCUUUCAUAAAUUUCUGGAUUUUCAUGAAAUAUUUUACGUGCAUGAAAUUUCAAGAUUUUAUUUUCUAUGUCUCCCUCUCGUGAAACUACCAAGCCAAAUCUUUACCCCCUGCCUAAUCAUGCGACCAGCGGUCCGAAACCUCAACCCCCCCCCCCCUUCUCGAAAGAGCUUACACAAUUAUUAUGCUAACUUGACAAUGACGCAAAACGUUGAGCGGAGAAAGAUCAGCUGACUCUCAAUCAACGCAGCGUUGCCUAUGUUGAACAGGUUAACCGCAUGGGUGCAAACGUGCACAUAUCAUUAAUUUAAUCAAAUUUCUUAAGCUAAAUGUGGCAACUUACAAACAAAAUGUGAACUUGCACACCUAACCUAGAUCGUGUGCCGGUCUGUUUACAUGUUUACAUCGAGGUUCUUUCGUCGAAGUUAUUGGGAUUUCUUAGGAAUCAAAAGGAUAAAAUUGAAGGAUUUGUGAUCCUUGAAAUUGGGAAGAAUCUGUGUUCAUUUCAAAUGUGUGAUAAGGCGAAGCAUGCACCUACUGCAGAAGUUGAAGGAUUUGUUAGGACCAUCCUUAGCUCUAGCGAUGAUCAGGCCAAAUAUGCGACCCCUUCCUGCUGUUCCCUGCCAAAGUUGCAUGAAAAAAAUAGGAGUCAACAUGAAAAGAAAGGAACAGAGUAAGUAAGGUGAUCAACAUUUUUAAUUAUUUUUACAUACCUUUUGGUUUCCAGUUGUACUUAAUUUAUGUUUUAAUUUGAUCCACUUAAUUUAGGUAAAUAAGAAUAUAAAUGAAAAAAUGUAAAAAAAUGAAAAAGUAUGUGGUCACUAACUGGUUGUCCUCUGAAUUUUCAUGGAUAGUACUUUGAAAAGUUCUGCAUCAUAAAAACAUAAUCAAGAAGCAGUAAGGAAAAUGUGUUUAUGCUAAAUGCUAAAUUGCUAAAUUUGGGCUUUUAAAAUGCCCACUUACCUUCACUUUAAAGUUGAUGCGAAGAGUACAGUUCUAGAGUAAUUAGACAUUGUAAAUUUGAAGAAAAUUCCUCCCUCCAAUGAGUAUUUUCCUGCUUGAAGAAGAAGGAACAGCGCAUUUUGUGUGACAGGAUGAAACAGUAUGGACAGUAUGAUUCUACAUUAUGUGUGAUUGAUAUGCUGAAGGAAAAGCUCUCGCUUAAAAUUUAUGAAAAGAAUAGGUCAGUUUAACUUGAAAUAUUCAGUUAUAACUAUCAAAAUUCAGAAAUUUUUACAAUUCAUUUUGUGUGUGACUCUGGUAAAUAAUGAUUAUUUCUUUAAUUUUUUAGGCCAGUGACGAUGCAAUUUUUCUAAAAAUCACUACUUGAUCCUUGAAUUCUUGGAAUUUGUUUAUUCUUGCACCGAGCGAAGAAUGCCUCAUAGUGUGGAAUAUUUUGGAAGACCAUGUGCAAAGAAGGUACAGAUUAUACUUAUUUUUUGGCAUGCUGAAAUAGAUAAGAACAUUUGUGAGAGGCUUCACGGGAAAAAAAAGGUUAAAAAAGUUUUGAUUGGUACGUUUUGAAUAAAACAAAAAAAAAAU